rnacentral:lncRNA from 1 species
GCAGAUUGAGGCAGCUUCAUCUCAUUCCUGGUUCAUCCUGAUUCCCUCAGUGGCUUGCUCCUGCAUUAGUAAUGUAAAACUGGCCCAAAGUGUUUAAAAUGGUCAGAAGUUGAUCUUGAUCAGUUCAAAUAUUUUUUGACAAAGAAAAUCAGUUCUGGUCAGUUCAAAUCUAUUUUGACCAGUUUAAACCAAUUCUGCAGAACUUGAGCCUGAGGUCGGUAGGAAGAUGGCUGAAGACUAUGCUGAUUCAAGCCAAAGCAAGGAAUCAGAGAAAGGUAAGAUUCAUUAAGACUUGGGUGAAAAGAGUUAACAUGGGAAGAAUCCUGGAAGACUUCAAGAAGUGGAAUUCAAACUGAAUCCUGAAGAAUAGCUACAGAAAAGUUAUUAAAAAGAAAAAAUCAUGAAGAAAAGAAACAGAAAGUAAAUCAUGGAAUCACCCUGAUCUUCUUUUCCUAUGUAAUCAAGAAAGCCUGGGCAGAGAAUUAUCAGUGAGUCUUUAUCUCUGCUCUGAGCCACCUGAUGCCACAACUAUGACUGCACUGGGUGAGACCUGAAGCAAAC